UAUGUAAGCAGAGUUACUAA
rnacentral:snRNA from 1 species